rnacentral:rRNA from 1 species
UACGUAGGGUGCGAGCGUUAUUCGGAAUUACUGGGCGUAAAGCGUGCGCAGGCGGUUUUGUAAGUCAGAUGUGAAAUCCCCGGGCUUAACCUGGGAAUGGCAUUUGGGACUGCAAGGCUUGAGUGCGGCAGAGGAGACUGGAAUUCCUGGUGUAGCAGUGAAAUGCGUAGAUAUCAGGAGGAAUACCGAUGGCGAAGGCAGCCCCCUGGGUCAAGACUGACGCUCAUGCACGAAAGCGUGGGGAGCAAACAGG